AGAGUUUGAUCAUGGCUCAGAACGAACGUUGGCGGCAUGGAUUAGGCAUGCAAGUCGAGGGAAUCCCAGCAAUGGGGAACCGGCGUAAGGGGCAGUAAGGCAUGGGUACCUACCCUGAAGUUCGGAAUAGCCAUCAGAGAUGGUGGGUAAUACCGGAUGAUGUCGUGAGACCAAAGAUUUAUCGCUUUGGGAGGGGCCCAUGUGAUAUUAGCUAGUUGGUGAGGUAACGGCUCACCAAGGCAAAGAUGUCUAGCGGGUAUGAGAGUACGACCCGCGCCACUCGCACUGAGACACUGGCGAGACACCUACGGGUGGCUGCAGUCGAGGAUCUUCGUCAAUGGGCGAAAGCCUGAACGAGCGAUGCCGCGUGCGCGAUGAAGGCCUUCGGGUUGUAAAGCGCUUUAGUGGGGAGAAAAGGGCAACCUUGAUCUAUCCCAAAUAAAGCUCCGGCUAAGUCGUGCGAGCAGCCGCGGUAAGAC
rnacentral:rRNA from 1 species